rnacentral:rRNA from 1 species
AUUGAACGCUGGCGGCAGGCCUAACACAUGCAAGUCGAGCGAGCGGCGGACGGGUGAGUAAUGUCUGGGAAACUGCCUGAUGGAGGGGGAUAACUACUGGAAACGGUAGCUAAUACCGCAUACCAUCAGAUGUGCCCAGAUGGGAUUAGCUAGUAGGUGGGGUAAUGGCUCACCUAGGCGACGAUCCCUAGCUGGUCUGAGAGGAUGACCAGGCACACUGGAACUGAGACAAGGUCCAGACGCCCAAGGGAGGAAGCAGGGGGGAAUAUUGCAAAAUGGGGGCAAGCCUGAUGCAGGCAUGCCGCGUGGUGGAAGAAGGGCUUCGGGUUGGAAAGGCAUUUCAGCGGGGAGGCGUUACCCGCAGAAGAAGCACCGGUUAACUCCGUGCCAGCAGGCGCGGUAAUAA